AUUGAACGCUGGCGGCAGGCCUAACACAUGCCAGUCGAGCGGAUGAAGGGAGCUUGCUCCUGGAUCCAGCGGCGGACGGGUGAGUAAUGCCUAGGAAUCUGCCUGGUAGUGGGGGAUAACGUCCGGAAACGGGCGCUAAUACCGCAUACGUCCUGAGGGAGAAAGUGGGGGAUCUUCGGACCUCACGCUAUCAGAUGAGCCUAGGUCGGAUUAGCUAGUUGGUGGGGUAAAGGCCUACCAAGGCGACGAUCCGUAACUGGUCUGAGAGGAUGAUCAGUCACACUGGAACUGAGACACGGUCCAGACUCCUACGGGAUGCAGCAGUGGGGAAUAUUGGACAAUGGGCGAAAGCCUGAUCCAGCCAUGCCGCGUGUGUGAAGAAGGUCUUCGGAUUGUAAAGCACUUUAAGUUGGGAGGAAGGGCAGUAAGUUAAUACCUUGCUGUUUUGACGUUACCAACAGAAUAAGCACCGGCUAACUUCGUG
rnacentral:rRNA from 1 species